UUUCUGGGAGGAAUUGCUGUGAAUUUCAAACGCCUUCUAAAUGCAGGAAUGGAUUUGUGUGACGAACGUUGGCAGAAAAGUGUGACUGGUACCCACCAACACGGCAGGCUAACGUAAAAUCAAAUGCGGUCGACCAAAGUACCGUAUUGGGGAUUAGCAACAUUACUAGGGAAGAAUCGAGACAGUUAUUAUCGCGUUCAUCGUGAUUUAUUUCCGAUUCCCUGGACUAUGCGACGGAACCAAUCGCGUCAUCCGAAUGUGAAGAGCUACAGUACACAUGUGCGGACACCUUCAUUAUUCAGCCGCCUCUAGUGGAUAAUGGGCAGCUGUGGUCUCGGACUAGUGACCAGGAAUGGAUUUGUGUGAACGAUCGACUGCUGCGUCUCCGAAAGGUCCACGGUCAUUUUCGUUGUAGUUACACAUUCAUAUUGUUUACAUCUUGGCCAGCAAACACUAGCACUUUUUAGGAAAUCAAAGAUUACCUGAUAUGUUAAAAAAAAACUUUAAAAAAUUUAAUAAAAAUUGGCGAAUGGUAAAAAUUAACCGGUACUGAAAAAGGGAAAUUGUUUUCAAGCAACUGAGAAGAUAAAAAGAAAACGUGAAAAUUUAAUUUAUGUAAUUUCUGUAAAUUUUAUCAGAGCCAUGGAAACUGAGUUGAACUUUGGACAUAUUACAAAUUAGUAUUAAUAAUAGAAAAUUGUAAAUUUAUUAAUAUUAUAUUACAAUUCAGUGUUAGCAAUAACAGUGGUAAGAUGUUGACUGUCAGUUGUUUCGAUGUCCGCAUUCCAUGUUUUACGAACCUUUGUCACAACUCACAAGGUAUCGUUUGCCAAGUUGUCAAAAUAUCCGAGGAAGAGAA